UGGGGAAUAUUGCACAAUGGGCGCAAGCCUGAUGCAGCCAUGCCGCGUGUGUGAAGAAGGCCUUCGGGUUGUAAAGCACUUUCAGCGAGGAGGAAGGUGGUGAGCUUAAUACGCUUAUCAAUUGACGUUACUCGCAGAAGAAGCACCGGCUAACUCCGUGCCAGCAGCCGCGGUAAUACGGAGGGUGCAAGCGUUAAUCGGAAUUACUGGGCGUAAAGCGCACGCAGGCGGUUUGUUAAGUCAGAUGUGAAAUCCCCGGGCUCAACCUGGGAACUGCAUUUGAAACUGGCAAGCUAGAGUCUCGUAGAGGGGGGUAGAAUUCCAGGUGUAGCGGUGAAAUGCGUAGAGAUCUGGAGGAAUACUGGUGGCGAAGGCGGCCCCCUGGACGAAGACUGACGCUCAGGUGCGAAAGCGUGGGGAGCAAACA
rnacentral:rRNA from 1 species